rnacentral:rRNA from 1 species
CCGGGCCCGCGCCCGCCGAAGACACCCUCGAACUCUGUCUGAAGAUUGAAGUCUGAGUGGAAAAUAUAAAUUAUUUAAAACUUUCAACAACGGAUCUCUUGGUUCCGGCAUCGAUGAAGAACGCAGCGAAAUGCGAUACGUAAUGUGAAUUGCAAAUUCUAGUGAAUCAUCGAGUCUUUGAACGCACAUUGCGCCCCCUGGUAUUCCGGGGGGCAUGCCUGUCCGAGCGUCAUUGCUGCCCUCAAGCCCGGCUUGUGUGUUGGGCCCCGUCCUCCGAUCCCGGGGGACGGGCCCGAAAGGCAGCGGCGGCACCGCGUCCGGUCCUCGAGCGUAUGGGGCUUUGUCACCCGCUCUGUAGGCCCGGCCGGCGCUUGCCGAUCAACCCAAAUUUUUAUCCAGGUUGACCUCGGAUCAGGUAGG